CACGUAGGGCGCAAGCGUUGUCCGGAAUUAUUGGGCGUAAAGAGCUCGUAGGCGGUCUGUUGCGUCCGCUGUGAAAACUCGGGGCUUAACCCCGAGCCUGCAGUGGAUACGGGCAGACUAGAGGUAGGUAGGGGAGAAUGGAAUUCCCGGUGUAGCGGUGAAAUGCGCAGAUAUCGGGAGGAACACCGGUGGCGAAGGCGGCAUCCUGGACCAACACUGACACUGAGGAGCGAAAGCCAGGGGAGCAAACGGG
rnacentral:rRNA from 1 species